AGUCGACGAUGAAUCUUCUAGCUUGCUAGAAGUGGAUUAGUGGCGCACGGGUGAGUAAUGCAUAGGCUAUGUGCCCUUUAGUCUGGGAUAGCCACUGGAAACGGUGAUUAAUACUGGAUACUCCCUACGGGGGAAAGUUUUUCGCUAAAGGAUCAGCCUAUGUCCUAUCAGCUUGUUGGUGAGGUAAUGGCUCACCAAGGCUAUGACGGGUAUCCGGCCUGAGAGGGUGAUCGGACACACUGGAACUGAGACACGGUCCAGACUCCUACGGGAGGCAGCAGUAGGGAAUAUUGCUCAAUGGGGGAAACCCUGAAGCAGCAACGCCGCGUGGAGGAUGAAGGUUUUAGGAUUGUAAACUCCUUUUGUUAGAGAAGAUUAUGACGGUAUCUAACGAAUAAGCACCGGCUAACUCCGUGCCAGCAGCCGCGGUAAUACGGAGGGUGCAAGCGUUACUCGGAAUCACUGGGCGUAAAGAGUGCGUAGGCGGGGUAAUAAGUCAGAUGUGAAAUCCUGUAGCUUAACUACAGAACUGCAUUUGAAACUGUUACUCUGGAGUGUGGGAGAGGUAGGUGGAAUUCUUGGUGUAGGGGUAAAAUCCGUAGAGAUCAAGAGGAGUACUCAUUGCGAAGGCGACCUGCUGGAACAUUACUGACGCUGAUGCACGAAAGCGUGGGGAGCAAACAGGAUUAGAUACCCUGGUAGUCCACGCCCUAAACGAUGGAUGCUAGUUGUUGCCUUGCUUGUCAGGGCAGUAAUGCAGCUAACGCAUUAAGCAUCCCGCCUGGGGAGUACGGUCGCAAGAUUAAAACUCAAAGGAAUAGACGGGGACCCGCACAAGCGGUGGAGCAUGUGGUUUAAUUCGAAGAUACGCGAAGAACCUUACCUAGGCUUGACAUUG
rnacentral:rRNA from 1 species